rnacentral:lncRNA from 1 species
GGGCAAGCAGUCUGUGGCAACUACGGUGUCCUUUGAGGUCAUCUCAAGCAGACCCCUCACUCUGAAGCCCCCGGAUCCAAGCAGGAUGAGCUGCCAACUCAGCUUGCUCUGACUUGACUUGGCUCAUGAUCCGUGGAAGACAUCCCUACCUGACCCGUCGAUCAGCCCGAAACUUCAACAUCUUUUUGGCAGCUCCGUCCCCAGUUUGGCAGCCUCAGAGGACCCGCCGGCCACCCUGAUCCUACCAUGCCUCUGAGAAGCAUGUAUGUUUACACAUGCACACACACUCCCAGGCUGGAUGCCCAGAACCCCACUGUGAUCAAUAUUGAACGACUGGAGAAAUACUCCACUCCUUCCACCCACUGGGCCUCUCUUGAUUAUCUGCUGUACACCAAGCUGCUUCAUUUCCAUAGCUCCUGAGAAUCUGCUGACAAAGAAUUAGCCCUGGCCCAGCUUCCCCAUCCUGAGGACGCCUUGGCUUCCAGCAUUACAGCUCAUUAGGUGGAGAGAGGUUUGCAUGCAAGGCAAGUGGAAAGGGGGUCCCAUCCCUUCCACUUCCUUCUUUCUCCCAGCUAGCAAAUUCCAAGCCGAGACUGUCCAUGCUCCAGAGAGGAUUUCUGCUGCCACAGAGGAGGGGAAGGUGGGGAGAAGGUUGGCUCCUGCUCUGUGCCUCCCCAUCUGGAUCUCAUCAUUAUUUUCAAGGAGGCUUAUCUGCUUCAGCAUCCUGUCCCAAUUAAAAACCAACUCAGUUUAUGUUUCCAGCCAUCUUCAUGCACCUGAUUCCUGAAGCUCCCCCUGCCAUUUCCAGGAGAAAAUACACUUUCCUAGCCACUUCUCAUCAGAGGCCCUCUGUUUUCCUACCUAUUGCUGCCACAUAAAGAAGAGGUCAAAGAGGGUCAGGCCCUGGCAGCACUUCUAGGUAUUUGCAGGUGGGAAGGAACCCCUCCAAACAACACUGCCUUAGCCAGGCAUGGUAGCACAUGUCUGUAGUCCCAGCUACUCAGAGGCAGAGGCAGGAGGAUCACUUGAGCCCAGGAGGUCGAGACUGCAG